rnacentral:rRNA from 1 species
GACGAACGCUGGCGGCGUGCUUAACACAUGCAAGUCGAACGGAAAGGCCCUGCUUUUGUGGGGUGCUCGAGUGGCGAACGGGUGAGUAACACGUGAGUAACCUGCCCUUGACUUUGGGAUAACUUCAGGAAACUGGGGCUAAUACCGGAUAGGAGCUCCUGCUGCAUGGUGGGGGUUGGAAAGUUUCGGCGGUUGGGGAUGGACUCGCGGCUUAUCAGCUUGUUGGUGGGGUAGUGGCUUACCAAGGCUUUGCCGGGUAGCCGGCCUGAGAGGGUGACCGGCCCCACUGGGCCUGAGAUACGGCCCAGACCCCUACGGGAGGCAGGAGUGGGGAAUAGUGCACAAGGGGCGGAAGCCUGAUGCAGCAACGCCGCGCGCGGGAUGACGGCCUUCGGGUUGUAAACCGCUUUCGCCUGUGACGAAGCGUGAGUGACGGUAAUGGGUAAAGAAGCACCGGCUAACUACGUG